CCUACGGGGCGCAUCAUUGCGGCAUCUUGGUCAAUGGACGCAAGUCUGAACCAGCCAUGCCGCGUGCAGGAUGACGGCUCUAUGAGUUGUAAACUGCUUUUGUACGAGGGUAAUAUCAGAUACGUGUAUCUGCUUGAAAGUAGCGUACGAAUAAGGAUCGGCUAAAUCCGUGCCAGCAGCCGCGGUAAUACGGAGGAUCCAAGCGUUAUCCGGAUUUAUUGGGUUUAAAGGGUGCGUAGGCGGUUUUAUAAGUUAGAGGUGAAAAUUCGGGGCUCAACUCCGGACGUGUCUCUGAUACUGUAUGACUAGAGAAUAGAUGCGGUAGGCGGAAUGUAUGGUGUAGCGGUGAAAUGCGUAGAGAUCAGACAGAACACCGAUUGCGAAGGCAGCUUACCAAACUAUAUCUGACGUUGAGGCACGAAAGCGUGGGGAGCAAACAGGAUUAGAUACCCUUGUAGUC
rnacentral:rRNA from 1 species